GAGUCGUGCUAACUGGAAGUAGAGUGGGCUGCAAAUCUUAAAGGGAGGCGACAAAACUGAUUCCAGAAGCACAGGUCCGGGAACAGACAGACCCCAGAGGCUCGCAGUCUAAAGCAGAUUGCCCUGUCGUGAAGAAACCCCUUCGGAAGACCUGAAGCAACGAUCUUCCUGCAGAAAGCAGACAAUGGCUCUUGUCCAGCCUCUGCUGGUUGUGCAGGAGGCCCUGAGGAAGUGCUUCCCUGUGGUGGAGGAACAGCAGGCCCUGUGGCAGAGCACCCUGCAGGACUGCUCGCCCCUCCUAUCCUCUCUCAGUAACCUGGCUGAGCAGCUGCAAGCUGCACAGAGUCUGCGCUUUGAGGAUGUGCCAGCCCUGCGUCCCUUUCCAGACUUACAGGAGCGGCUGAGGCGCAAGCAGCUGGAGGCUGGUGACGUUGUCCUGGACAAGCUAGCUGAGAGGCUAGCCACCCUCCUCAAGGUCCGUAACACCAUCAGUAGCCAUGUGGAGCAGGUAUUUCAGGCCUACGAGCAGCAUGCGGCUGUGCUAGACAUUGAUACCGUCCUGCGCCCCUCAGUCGUGAGCCCCUCUGUGGCUGACAUGUUGGAGUGGCUGCAGGACAUCGACAGACAUUAUGGAAGCUCAUAUCCUUCGAGUGCUUCCUGACUAACUGACUGCCCAGAGCCGCCCCUAGAGGCUGCAGCAGGUUCAGACUUCACAGGGUCAGCAGGCUGUAUAAUUUGUUGCAGUUCUCUAGUGCUCAGACUUAGAUUCUUCUUGCAUUUGUCUUUUUUUUUUUUUUUUUGACUAGUCAUUUCUUAUAGUUUAUCUGCCAGGCACUACUCUAAGUGCUGGGAGCAGGCAUAAAAAGGGGGAUGCAUAGUGUCAGAUGUGGUGAGUGCUAAAUAAGGUGGGGCUGUGAUUUUAUAGUGUGGUCAGUGCAGGGACCCAUGAGGCAGUGACAUCCUGAGACAAUGAUGCUCACAGCAUUUGAGCAAAGUUUGCAAGAGGGAAGGAAUGAGCCAUGUGGGUGUUUGGAAGAAGAGUGGUCCAGGCAGAGGCUACAUGGUGUGAGCUUGUCUGGUACGUGUAGGAGCUGCCAUAAGGCCAGUGGGGGCAGGGCAGGGCAGGGCAGGGCGGGAGGAGAGUGACGGAGGGCCUUGGUUUCUGAGAAGGAUCUUGAAGGUUUUGGCUGUUACUCUGAAAUAGAGUUCUCAGAAGCUUUAAGCAGAACCACGUGGUCAAGGUCUAUGCUUAACAGUGCUGUGUUCUGAAGAACAGUUGGCAUGGUGGGAAGCGAGCCUGAGAGCAGGAAAUUAGCUGCAGUCCUGGCCUUUUCUCCAUUCGUGCCUGUGGCUGUCAUCUGACCCUGGUUUUGCUCCUGGUCUUGAGUCUCAGUUUCCUGUGCUCAGUUUCCAGCUGGCUCACUUAGUGAACUCCAAAUUCCAGUUUAAAGCUGAACAUGGACCAGCACUGCCCACUGCGUGACUGAUUUUCAUGUUGUGAUCACGUAUCGAACACGAAGCAGGACAGACAGAUUUGUUUCAGGUCAUAGCUGAGGGAUUUGUCCAUCACGGAGGGAAGCGCACAGAGACAGGAGCGUAAGCCACUGGUCACAUUGCACCUGCAUCAGGACGCAGGGACUGCUGACUGCUGGCGUUCUGUUCACUUUCUGUUCAUUCUGGGACCCCAGCCUGUGGAUUGACACUGUCCACAUUCAGAGGAGUCUUCCCACUUCAGUUAAACCUUUCUAGAGACGCCAUCACAGACACAACCUGUAUCAUGUUUCCAUGGCAAUUCUAAAUCCAGACAAGUUGACAAAGGAGAUUGUCACCCAAUCUGGAUAUGUAGGGACGAUCUUCCUCCUGUCCCUCUGUUUCCUAUUAUAACUGCAAUAGUGGUACUAGGUGUGCUAGUGGCGCUGCUAACCCUGAUAUCGCUAAGCACUGCCAUAGGCUAGGCGCUGGAGGCACUAGUUGGCCCCACUCUCCUGCCUUGAUUUCUAAUCAUGUUACUGAGAUGGACCACAUUCAACAGUAGUCCCACAAGAGCAUAUGACGUAGUGACACAGCCAUCUUGUAAGUUCCUUUUUCUUCUGAGCAGUCCUUAACUUCUGGGAAGGUACCUGAAGAGAAAGUACCUCCUCUCCUCCAUCCACUGGGGAGACUUGGCCAGCAUCCAAGCACUGCCCAAGGCCUGGGACCAAAUUUCAGAAGAUGAGUGCCAAACUCUUGUGUCAGGUACUGGUGUCCGUCAGUCCUGUGCGGCCUCUCUGGAGACGUUAGACACACCCCCACUGUACUCUUGGGCCUUGAUAAACCUGAUGUUUUGUCCCUUGCUUCCUGUUCUAGAUGUCCUGGUGAGUGUCUCCUUCUUCCUGGAGGAGCCAGGAGGCUGUGCGGCGUCUGGAGAUCUGGAGCACCGCAGCUGAGGGCUGCCAUUGCUACACUAGGCUAUUUCUAAGUGAGGGUCAGCAUGGCUACCUGACUCACUGAAAUAGCAGUGCCUAGGACUUCUCCAUGCUAGGCCAUGGCCAAGGGUCCAUGGCAGCUGCACCUAUGACUCUGAGAAGCGGAUAGAGGCGGAGGAGACAGGAAAGGCAGUGCUAGUAAACAGUGUCCACCAAGGCAGGAAAGGGCGGAAUGCAAGGUUGUGUGGCCACCGCUGCCUAUGUCAUCUGAACCAUUAGUCUCUGGUUGGCUCAGGUCCUGAUUCUGUGUCAGUAUCUGAGUCCUUAAUGGCUUAAAGAUAGGAGUGGGUCUGGGAGUCCAGGGCGGGAGCAGUGUGUGUGUGUGUGUGUGUGUGUGUGUGUGUGUGUGUGUGUGUGUGUGUGUGAAAGUCAGAGGACAAAGUCAAUCACCUGCAAAACCCCAAAAAGGAAAGGACAAGAAAAGGGAACGUUUUUCUUCACCGAAGCUCAUUAUGAAGCCAGUUUCCAUUUCCAAAGUCAGCCACCAGGGGGCGAUGGUGCAGCGUGAGCUGUUCUGAAUGCCUUGUUCUUGAGGGAGGUCCCCUGUUGCUGUUAAAAGCCACUGAGGUGUCUGUGGGCAGGUGGGUCUCUGAUUUUGAGAUCACCUUCGUCUCUAUAGCUCCAGGUCAACCAAGGCCACAAACUGAGACUUGUCUCAAAAAGGAAGACACAGAGGUAAAGGGACCUCGCAUUGGCCAUGGUCUUCUGAGUUUGGGGUAACCGGCCAGGGAAGGGAAUGUCGGCUGUGAUGGUUGGUUUUUAUGGUCCACUUGACAUGCAAAGCCACCUCGGAAGGGAGUCUCAGUGAGGAAUGUUCUAGAUUUGGUUGGCUUGCAGACAUGCAAGAUUUUCUUAAGUGAGGUGAGAAGACCCAUCCUGAAUGUGAGUGGCAGCAUGUCAUGGGCUGAGCACUUAGCUGGCAUUCACCUUCGAUGGUGAGUAUGCCGUGAGCAGCUGCUUCAGGUUCCUGCCACUGACUCUCCUGUAGUAAUGGAUUCUAACUUCAAAUUAUAAGCCUAAUAUCUGCCAAUAGGUUUUAUCAUGCUUUAGGGUUCUCUAAAAGAACAGGACUAAUGAUAAUAUGAAUGAAUAUAAAGAGAGAGUACUGAGGGCAGCAAGAGUGAGGGCCGGCGUACCUAAAGCAAAAGCAUUCUUCUUCCAUAUGAUGAUAUGUGGACUCCCACCACAGGGUGUGGCCCAGAUUUGGGGUGGGUCUUCCCACCUCAAAUGAUCCAAUCGAGAAAACCCCUCACAGGCCUGCCUAGUUGCUUGAGUCUUAGUUGAUUCCAGAUGUCAAGUUGACAGCGAAGAUUAGCUAUCACAUGCAGUGCUGGGAAAGAGACUGAGAGGCAGCCUGGAGUGGUGCCGACCCUUGCCUCUGUGCCGCGGCCACUGCUCGGGGGUCUCAGCUUCCCAUGUGCUCUACAAGUCAGGGCUGCCGUGUACAGGGCGUAGUGCAGAGAAUGGGUUUAUUUUAGCUUUUGAUUUUACAAGACUGGGUUUCUCUGUGUAGCCCUGGCUGUCCUGAAACUCACUCUAAACCAGGCUGAUCUCAAAGAUCCACCUGUCUCUGCCUCCUGAGUACAAGGAUCAAAGGCAUGUGCCACCACCACCACCCAGCUAAGGAUGGAGACUUUUAAAAAGAAAGUGACUUUGUUUUCUUACUAUAUUUUUUGUUUUUAAUUAAAGAAAAAAAAUUAAAUACAGAAAAGUAUAAUGUAAAACCCACCCUAAUAUUUUGAUCUGUAUCCCUUUACUGUUCUUCACAAAUUUCAAAACAAAAGACAUUGAUACAAACUCAUUGUUUCUAAAUUUGUGGAUAGUUGGACAUCUGUAAAUAAGUCAAUAAAACUGUACUAUGUAGACU
ensembl:processed_transcript